UACAGAGGGUGCAAGCGUUAAUCGGAAUUACUGGGCGUAAAGCGUGCGUAGACGGUUAUGUAAGUCGGGUGUGAAAGCCCCGGGCUCAACCUGGGAAUGCCAUUCGAGACUGCAUAGCUAGGGUGCGGAAGAGGGAAGCGGAAUUUCCGGUGUAGCGGUGAAAUGCGUAGAUAUCGGGAGGAAUACCAGUGGCGAAGGCGGCUUUCUGGGCCUGUUCUGACGCUGAGGAGCGAAAGCGUGGGGAGCAAACCGG
rnacentral:rRNA from 1 species